rnacentral:snRNA from 14 species
AUCGAUGUCUCGCUGAGCGAUAACGACGUCUCCCACUGCCUGCCUGGUUUACGCCGCGNACUUUGGCUUGGGCUGACCUGUGUGGCAGCUUCUCAUUGAGGUUAGCCAACAGCUAAAUUUUUGUGUGUGGGGCUGCGUUCGCGCGGCCCUGA